rnacentral:rRNA from 1 species
GACGAACGCUGGCGGCGUGCUUAACACAUGUAAGUCGAACGGAAAGGCCCUGCUUUUGUGGGGUGCUCGAGUGGCGAACGGGUGAGUAACACGUGAGUAACCUGCCCUUGACUUUGGGAUAACUUCAGGAAACUGGGGCUAAUACCGGAUAGGAGCUCCUGCUGCAUGGUGGGGGUUGGAAAGUUCCGGCGGUUGGGGAUGGACUCGCGGAUUAUCAGCUUGUUGGUGGGGUAGUGGCUUACCAAGGCCUUGACGGGUAGCCGGCCUGAGAGGGUGACCGGCCACAUUGGGACUGGGAGCCGCCCCAGACUCCUACGGGAGGCAGGAGUGGAAGAUAUUGCACAGUGGGCGGCAGCCUGAUGCAGCAACGCGGCGUGCGGGAUGACGGCCUUCGGGUUGUAACCCGCUGUCGCCUGUUGCGAGGCGUGAGUGACGGUGAUGGGUAAAGAAGCACCGGCUAACUACGUG